GAUGAACGCUGGCGGCGUGCCUAAUACAUGCAAGUCGAGCGAACAGACGAGGAGCUUGCUCCUCUGACGUUAGCGGCGGACGGGUGAGUAACACGUGGAUAACCUACCUAUAAGACUGGGAUAACUUCGGGAAACCGGAGCUAAUACCGGAUAAUAUAUUGAACCGCAUGGUUCAAUAGUGAAAGACGGUUUUGCUGUCACUUAUAGAUGGAUCCGCGCCGCAUUAGCUAGUUGGUAAGGUAACGGCUUACCAAGGCGACGAUGCGUAGCCGACCUGAGAGGGUGAUCGGCCACACUGGAACUGGGAAACGGUCCAGCAUCCUACGGGAGGCAGCAGUAGGGAAUCUUCCGAAAUGGGCGAAAGCCUGACGGAGCAACGCCGCGUGAGUGAUGAAGGUCUUCGGAUCGUAAAACUCUGUUAUUAGGGAAGAACAAAUGUGUAAGUAACUAUGCACGUCUUGACGGUACCUAAUCAGAAAGCCACGGCUAACUACGU
rnacentral:rRNA from 1 species